rnacentral:tmRNA from 1 species
AGAUUUGUAAAGUUGAUUAUUGUGUGGUAUAUUAAAGUGUUGUGUAAAUAACUAUAGCGAUAAACGUUAUAAGCAAUAGGUGCUUUGGACCCGGGGGCGGAACCCGGCGUCUCCACCAUUUGGGGGGACGAAUUAGGCUCGACAGACAUUGAAAGUUAUGAUUUUCGCUCGGCAUGGUACCACCGUUAUCGGGCUAAUUUAAUAAGUGCAAACGAUUAUGCACUGCAUGACAUGCGCCUAGCAGCCUAGCGGCGAGCUAUAAUGCAUUGAAUGCGCGGUUAGGGGACGCCGAGCAACAGAAGUCCCCAUU